UUCCUCUAUUCUCUGUAUCUUUGCCUCAGCUACUACAGCUCGUGAUUCCAACUUCUUGCUCUCUUCAGAUAUUUGCUCCAAUAUGUUAUUGCAAAGCUCGUUUAACCUUUUCUCCCAUUGUUGUUCAAUUUUGUUCUUGAGCCGUUCUACCAAUUCUUUCUUUUCCGACCAGCAAUCAUCGGUUCCCUUGCCUUUACGUCCUCCCUUUUGAGAUCCCAUUUUGUUUUUAUCCUGUUGGGAUGCUCUAGCUGCUUCAGCUUAUCGUAAAAAUGUGUGUGUGGUGGGGGAUUUGUGAGCUAAUGUGUUAGGUGUGUGUGUGUGUGUGUGUGUGUGUGUGUGUGUAUGUAAGUACACAUGCAUGCAAAUAUACCCUGGAAACUCUAUUGCAUAACGGAGUCUUCUGAAGAGUUCUUUUUCACCUCCGGAGGUCUCUUCUCUUUCUAAUACUCACCUAUUUAAUGACUGCGGUUUUAAAUGAACUAUUCACUGAAAUAUUUGAUGUCUCUACACAUGGGUUCAAAAAUGGGUAUAAUUAGUCUAUUUCAGAGUAAUGAGGCAUGACCGAGAGAUGAAACUCAUUUUAAAAGCUUAAAUAGGUAAUUAUGUCAUCGGGGUUCGUGAGGAGAUAUUUGAGUAAAAAAUACACAUGCUGGAUGUCUAGGAGGCGUGUAAUUACGAGUCUAGAGAAGUGGAGCCACGAGCCUUGUCUUGUCCAGUCUAUGCCUAGCGGGAAUUGACCUCUAGCCUCUGGCCUACUGUUCACAUGUGAUGGAUCUUGCGAUCGUCACAGAUUGCUAUGGAGCAUAUAUAUAUAAAGUAGCUGGGAUGUAUCUAAGUGUACUACACAAGUAACACUGUAAGCACUACUGACAAUUACAAAAUGUACACACACUCUAAAAAAAAUUUUGGUUAACUGUCUAUUGAUAAGUGGCUUUGCCAACUGGUUACUAACUAACAUUCAGAGAAUAUUUAUCUUCUAAGCUGUGUAUCACUUCCUGCAGAUAUACAACUGCCUGAUAUUUCACGUUCAAGAUUGGCUCUCCUGCAUGAAUUUCUUCACCCUGGAUGAUCCUUCACACUCUCACGUUGUUAUGGUGCAGAUGACCAUGAGUCUUAUGGAUGCUAGGAAGUUUUCAGCAUGUGUAAGAAUUUGGGGAGUGAUGAAGUGGAAGCAGGAGAAGAGAUACAAUAAAGUUCAUGAAACAUGGAGUAAACCUAGUUGCGACCAGUGAAAAGGCAGGGCCAGGAGCUCUGACUCAACCACUGCAACAACAAAUAUGUGAGUACGUACACAGACACACACACACAAACACACACACACACACACACAAACACACACACACACACACACACGGGAGCAAACACUAUGACAUAUUUAUUAGAAAACGUUUCGGUCCUGUUGCCUUGAUCACUUCUAACAUACAGAGGUAGAAAGGCAUUAUAUAUAUAGGCGGAGAGUGAGGUGUGACGCACGUGACCUGAGGAAUGUCAUAAGAACAUGAGAACAUAAGAAUGGAGGAACACUGUAGAACGCCUACUGGCCCAUGCGAGGCAGGUCCUUAUCAAAACAACCUCUGCCUACGAUGAGGACAGGUAGACGUUGAAAUCAUGUGACUCCUGUGCUGUUGGGUUGGUGUUAAGUAUCAUGUAUGCCAAUGUUUUUGAAAUUUUGUAGUUUCCAGUGUUGCGUCGGUGACUGCGAUUAGUGAAGCUUAUUAUAUUAAUUGUUGCAUAAAAACAGGUAUAAAAAUAGAUGGAGCAGUAACAGAGUCUGUUUGGGUAGAGUUUGUGGAGGGUCAAGAAAAACUAAUUCUAGGUGUAAUAUACCGACCUCCAGUCUUGGAUCACGAUAGAGGGAGACUUCUUUGGGACGAAAUUGUUAGGGCUUCUGGACACAGUAACAUAGUCAUAGUAGGGGACUUUAACUUUAGUCAAAUUGACUGGAAUUGAUAAUAAAUGGUAUGAUAAUAAAUGGUAUAAAAUACCGACACAAUGGAAAUAUAAACACAAAUGCAGAGAAGACACUGCCGAGAAGAGAUACAUAGUCCUCCCCAACAACUCCAUUGCCAAACAUGUUUCCAACAUCUUUGCCAAAACAUCAUUCCAAGUAUCUACCUCCACAACCACGACCAUCAAGGACAUCACCAGUAGUAGACAGGACAAGCCUCCAUCCUCUGCAGGGGUAUACAUAAUCCCUUGUAAUGACUGCAACAAAUUAUAUGUGGGCGAAACAUCAAGAGACCUCCAAACACGCAUUUCAGAACACCAAUAUGCAAGCAGGACUGACGAUACAAGGAAUGCCUGUGUACAGCAUCGCAAUUCACACAACCAUUUAAUUAACUACAGAAACUCAAGACUUAUAGCCACAGAAGACAACACUCAAUACAGAAGAAUCCUGGAAUCAUCGCUUAUCUCUAUAACCAACAAUUUCAACCAGAACAAUGGCUUCUAUAACAUAGCUGAACCACUCGCCAAGAAACUUCUUCAUCGCUAUCCCACAUAAGAACAUAGAACACUGCAGAAGGUCUACAACUUGUCCAAUACCCCUGCCAAGCUACCCAAGACUCUUUAACCCCACCCGGUGGAUCAUCAGAUGCAGCAUUCUUCACCUGGCCUCAACAUUCUGACUAUAAAUACUCUCGUACCUUCCAACCCCAGGUAGAUCCGUGUGUGACUUGAGAAAGGCCACUGUGUGGGUGAAAAGUUGUCAAUAAAGGAUCACAUUAUACUG